rnacentral:tRNA from 1 species
AUUUAGAUAGUUUAAUUUAAAAUAUUGAUUUGUGGUAUCAUUGAUAUAAAAUAUAAAAUUUUAUUCUAAGUU